rnacentral:rRNA from 3 species
UACGGAGGGGGCUAGCGUUGUUCGGAAUGACUGGGCGUAAAGCGCGCGUAGGCGGAUCAUCAAGUCGGGGGUGAAAUCCCGGGGCUCAACCCCGGAACGGCCUUCGAGACUGGUGGUCUUGAGUUCGAGAGAGGUGGGUGGAAUUCCGAGUGUAGAGGUGAAAUUCGUAGAUAUUCGGAGGAACACCAGUGGCGAAGGCGGCCCACUGGCUCGACACUGACGCUGAGGCGCGAAAGCGUGGGGAGCAAACAGG